GGAAGGGCCAUGGCUCAGAAGUAGAGUGUUUGUUUUGCACACAGGUUCAAAGGUCAAAGGUUCCAGGUUCAAUCCCCGGUGUCUCCA